UAUAUCUGGGCCUGUCCGGCGACAGCAACAACCAUUCAGCGGUGCGUCGUCGUGUUUGGGUAGCCGACCAGAAAGUGAACGGCACCGCGCCGGUGAGGCGCAGCGCCGCUUCUCGCCAUGGACGGCAUGGAGUUCUUCUUUUAGGAAUCUGGAGCAGGGUUCGUACCGCGCUUGGAUGGCGGAGUUGUCUUAAGAGAUCUACUUCCCGGUGAGCAACUGACUGAGGGCGGCACAACCGCUGAUGCGAAGGAGGACUUGGUUUAUUCUCUGCCGGUGAGACGAGCUGGAGGCUGCAUGGAUUGUGAAGGGGGCGAAUAUGCUGGUGUGGGGGGUGCGCAUCAUAUGAUCUUGGCGAUGAAGGGAUGGGCGAUUCCUGCGAGAUAGGCGGUGCAAAUAUAGUGCCUGAUGCCGCGGACCAGGAUGCAGACGAAGAGGGCGUGAGAGUGUCCAAUACAAACCAAUCUACUUAGAACAGGAGGGUCAGUGUUGGGAAAGCGGCAGAUGAGAGGGAGCCCAGUCCUUGAAGCUGUUGUCCGUGCAUAUGUCAAUAAGAAGUCUAAAAAUGUUGUCAAUCCAUUGAUUGGGACUAGUUUUGAUUCCAUCGAAGAGGGCUAUGGGUUCUACAAUCUGUAUUCAUGGGAGGUUGGUUUUGGUGUCCACUAUGCAAAAUCCAUUUGAAUGUACACCGGAAGAAGUGCAUGCAGGAGAUAGUUUGUGCAUGUGCGGCCAACAGUAGAUCAAUGAGGUGUGGUUGCAAUGCCAUGAUACGACUGCCGAGGAGUUAUCUGUUAACUGUGGAGAGAAAUUGUACUUAAGGUCAUGAUACACCUAAAACUGCAUGAGCUGCCUCCAAAACAUGUGCUCAAGUGAUGGACUAGAGAUGCAAGAGAUAUACUACCGCCGGAGUAUUUGCGCUACCAGAAGGAUCAUGGGUCGCUGAAGUAUUCUUCUCAUCGACACAACACUUUAUACUUGUUGGCACUGGAUUCCAUUAAGUUAGGCGACAGCAAUGUGGAAGCAUAUGCACUUGCUAUGGAGAAAAUGCGAGAUGUCAAAGUGUUGGUCGAGCCAGUUGCCGCCGUGGGGGAUGGGCUUGGUCUGUCUUAUAGAGAGUUGGCUGCAGAUUCAGCCGGCUCUGGCGUUGAUAACAAGAAGCACUUUGGGCAAACUAUGUCUGAGCACACCAUUUCACAAGGAUCAGAUGUGUUUCCAGCACGGUCAAGGAAACGACAGGCUGGGCGUUCAACAACCAGCCGCAACAAGGCUCUAUAUAUGAACAACCAUCAAAGAGGAGUUGAUUCUGUUCUAUAUGCAGAAUUCAGGGGCACACGAGCACAACAGACCACAUGAAGAACACAUGCAGCAACCCGCCUAAAGUCUGAAAAAUCUAAAUUUUAGUGUUUGUUUACUCAUGGUAUGGAUUUGGCUAUGUGGCACUUUGUUAUUAGAACCUUGUGUGUUAUUUGUGUGAAACAUCAAGAGAUGGUAUGAGUGCUACUAUGCGUUCUUGUGUCAGCUGGUCAGCACAUUGUAAAAUUGCCUGAUGAAUUCUGUUAGAUAUGCUCUAGUGUU